AGAUGGAGAUGAACACAGAGAGUGUUGAGAGAGAAAGAUGGAGAUGAACACAGAGAGAGUGUGAGAGAGAAAGAUGGAGAUGAACACAGAGAGAGUGUUGAGAGAGAAAGAUGGAGAUGAACACAGAGAGAGUGUGAGAGAGAACGAUGGAGAUGAACACAGAGAGAGUGUGAGAGAGAAAGAUGGAGAUGAACACAGAGAGAGUGUGAGAGAGAAAGAUGGAGAUGAACACAGAGAGAGUGUUGAGAGAGAAAGAUGGAGAUGAACACAGAGAGAGUGUUGAGAGAGAAAGAUGGAGAUGAACACAGAGAGAGUGUUGAGAGAGAAAGAUGGAGAUGAACACAGAGAGAGUGUGAGAGAGAAAGAUGGAGAUGAACACAGAGAGAGUGUGAGAGAGAAAGAUGGAGAUGAACACAGAGUGUGAGAGAGAAAGAUGGAGAUGAACACAGAGAGUGUGAGAGAGAAAGAUGGAGAUGAACACAGAGUGUGAGAGAGAAAGAUGGAGAUGAACACAGAGAGAGUGUGAGAGAGAAAGAUGGAGAUGAACACAGAGAGAGUGUGAAAGAGAAAGAUGGAGAUGAACACAGAGAGAGUGUGAGAGAGAAAGAUGGAGAUGAACACAGAGAGAGUGUGAGAGAGAAAGAUGGAGAAAUACCCUCAGCAGAUUUCUUAGCACCUGUGCUCCCAGCUCCUGACUGAUCUGAUGCGUGAACCACAUCAGCUGUCUAAACUCAGCCAUCCUCCGCCUCACCAAUCCAUCUCUAGCUAAAUGAUGCAGGGGAACAUCGCAACAAACAAUCAAAGCAACCCUGCCCCGCAGACUGUCCAGUCAAACAAUAAAAUUAAUGGACCCCAAUAUGACAAAUAGUUACUGAUGAUCAGGGUUUGACAAGUGGAAAAGAAAGUGUCACAAACACAUUUUAAGUCACAGCAGAACUCAAAUGAUGAAACAAAUGAACACACAGAUAUGGAUGAGUAUUGUUUAGACUUGUUGUUAGUAGCUGGUAAGAGGUGAAGUGAGAGGUGGCUGUCAGAUGAGGGUUGAGCUAAAAGCCUGUUAUUGUAAGAGUAAAGCUGCAUGCUUCACUGACCCUCCAGAAACCUUCCCACAAUUCCCUCAGCCCAACCAGAGGUGCCAAAAGAACAACUUCACUCCUCUCACGUCCUGUCUGUCUGUCUCCUCCAACUCUCUUUUUAUCGUCCUCUUUUUCUCCGUCUCUCUCUCUUCCUGAAUUGUUAUCAUCUUAACAGGUGUCAUUUUAUCAUCAUUGUUUCAUCACGUUCUCUUCUAAGACUCAUAAAUGAAGGUGACCUGAAAUCAUUUUGGAGGGAUAUUUGGUGAAAUCGGAUUGUCUGGUCAUUUCUAACACAUCUGUGCAUGAACACAGUGCUGCUGCCGGCACUGGUAGCAUCUCAAAUAGCACUCUAUUCCCUGUAUAGUGCACUAGUUUUGACCAGGGCCCAUUUUGUCUUUUGGGAUGCAGUCAGUGUGAAGGGAGGGAGCUGUGAGGAGAAGAGUGUGCUGUCAUUUUGGCACCCCAUCGGCUGUCUAUCAGUGGAGAAUUUGGCCCCCAGGCCCCCAAUAGCAGAGAGUGAAGUGAGAUUCAGUUGACAGUUCACGGCCUCAUACUCUUUUAAACAGACGUCCAAUAGUUGUCUCUUCUUUGCUCUGCAAAAUGUUCAAAGUCAAAGAAACGAUCAUUUAGUUAUUAUGCGUCAACCACUAGUUUAAAAACAACUCUAAAAUAAAUGGCAAAAUGAUUCAUGGUUUAUUCAGCUUGAGAAAUCUGUUGGAACGGAUUUGUAAUCAAAUGUUUCAACAGUUGUUGGGUCCAUCUGUUGAGGGAUUGAGGGUGUGUUGGUUGGCAAUCAUGAUUGUGUGUUGACUGAGAAUUACUGUAUGCUUAUUGUGUUGUGUGUCCUGUACAUUAGUGUGUGUGUGUGUGUGUGUGUGUACCUUGCUGCGUGAGUCCACGUUGAGCAGGCACACUCCACAGGCCAGCUCCUUGGCGUUCUUGAUGCCGUGUCUCAGGAUACAGGAGGAGAAGUCCAGCGAGCUCUCAUCAGGCUGUACAGAGAAACACACAACACAACAUUACACAAGGAGAAACACACACACACACACAUUUUAUUACUUUUAAUACUUUAUUUGAAUCCACAAAUUGCAUUACAUUCAAGAAGGAUUCAAAAUGCAUGGACACUUAAGGAUACAGAAAGCACCUUCUCAUAACAGCUGAAACAGAGCAGUACCGAGCCAAUUACUUUGUGUUAGGCUGGCCUGCAACCUGGAGGCCACGUACUGUAAGCCUAUGU
rnacentral:lncRNA from 1 species